UUUGAAGUGUGGACGCCAGUCUGCAUGGAGCCGGCCUUGAAAUACCACCCUUUAAUGUUUGAUGUUCUAACGUGGACCCGUGAUCCGGGUUGCGGACAGUGUCUGGUGGGUAGUUUGACUGGGGCGGUCUCCUCCUAAAGAGUAACGGAGGAGCACGAAGGUUGGCUAAUCCUGGUCGGACAUCAGGAGGUUAGUGCAAUGGCAUAAGCCAGCUUGACUGCGAGCGUGACGGCGCGAGCAGGUGCGAAAGCAGGUCAUAGUGAUCCGGUGGUUCUGAAUGGAAGGGCCAUCGCUCAACGGAUAAAAGGUACUCCGGGGAUAACAGGCUGAUACCGCCCAAGAGUUCAUAUCGACGGCGGUGUUUGGCACCUCGAUGUCGGCUCAUCACAUCCUGGGGCUGAAGUAGGUCCCAAGGGUAUGGCUGUUCGCCAUUUAAAGUGGUACGCGAGCUGGGUUUAGAACGUCGUGAGACAGUUCGGUCCCUAUCUGCCGUGGGCGCUGGAGAACUGAGGGGGGCUGCUCCUAGUACGAGAGGACCGGAGUGGACGCAUCACUGGUGUUCGGGUUGUCAUGCCAAUGGCACUGCCCGGUAGCUAAAUGCGGAAGAGAUAAGUGCUGAAAGCAUCUAAGCACGAAACUUGCCCCGA
rnacentral:rRNA from 1 species